rnacentral:rRNA from 1 species
AGUGAACGCUGGCGGUAGGCCUAACACAUGCAAGUCGAACGACAGCACAGUAAGAGCUUGCUCUUACGGGUGGCGAGUGGCGGACGGGUGAGGAAUACAUCGGCAUCUACUUUUUCGUGGGGGAUAACGUAGGGAAACUUACGCUAAUACCGCAUACGACCUACGGGUGAAAGCAGGGGAUCUUCGGACCUUGCGCGAUUGAAUGAGCCGAUGUCGGAUUAGCUAGUUGGCGGGGUAAAGGCCCACCAAGGCGACGAUCCGUAGCUGGACUGAGCGGAUUAUCAGCCACACUGGAACUGAGACACGGUCCAGACUCCUACGGGAGGCAGCAGUGGGGAAUAUUGGACAAUGGGCGCAAGCCUGAUGCAGCCAUACCGCGUGGGUGAAGAAGGCCUUCGGGUUGUAAAGCCCUUUUGUUGGGAAAGAAAAGCAGCAGGUUAAUACCCCGAUGUUCUGACGGUACCCAAAGAAUAAGCACCGGCUAACUUCGUG